rnacentral:rRNA from 1 species
AUGCAAGUCGAAUGCGAAAGGGGAGCAAUCCCUGAUUAGAGUGGCAAACGGGUGAGUAACACGUGGGUGACCUGCCUUCGAGUGGGGGAUAACCUUCCGAAAGGAGGGCUAAUACCGCAUGACAUACCGUGUUUGGAUACACGGAUAUCAAAGCCGGGGAUCGCAAGACCUGGCGCUUGAAGAGGGGCCCGCGCCCGAUUAGCUAGUUGGUGGGGUAACGGCUCACCAAGGCUCCGAUCGGUAUCCGGCCUGAGAGGGCGGACGGACACACUGGAACUGAGACACGGUCCAGACUCCUACGGGAGGCAGCAGUGGGGAAUUGUUCGCAAUGGGCGAAAGCCUGACGACGCAACGCCGCGUGGAGGAUGAAGAAUUUCGGUUCGUAAACUCCUUUCGACCGAGAUGAAUAUCCCGAGAUCUAAUAAGUUUCGGGACUGACAGUAUCGAGAGAAGAAGCCCCGGCUAACUCUGUGCCAGCAGCCGCGGUAAUACAGGGGGGGCAAGCGUUGUUCGGAAUUACUGGGCGUAAAGGGUUCGUAGGUGGCCACUUAAGUCAGACGUGAAAUCCCUCAGCUUAACUGGGGAACUGCGUCUGAUACUGGGUGGCUUGAGUGCAGGAGAGGAAUGCGGAAUUCCAGGUGUAGCGGUGAAAUGCGUAGAUAUCUGGAGGAACACCGGUGGCGAAGGCGGCAUUCUGGACUGUAACUGACACUGAGGAACGAAAGCCAGGGGAGCAAACGGGAUUAGAUACCCCGGUAGUCCUGGCCCUAAACGAUGAAUGCUUGGUGUGGCGGGUAUCGAUCCCUGCCGUGCCGAAGUUAACGCGAUAAGCAUUCCGCCUGGGGAGUA